CGUCUCCUCCAUGUCUCUUUCUGAUAUGGAUUCAGCCCGCUCUCGCAGCGGGUUUUUUCUU
rnacentral:ncRNA from 1 species